rnacentral:lncRNA from 10 species
CUAAACCUGGCUGAAGAAAAAUGUACAAUCAUUGUGACUGGGCUCACUGUACUCUGGUCCUUGGCUCUCCUAAGACUCAUAAAAGCCGCUCCAGCGGCUAAGGAAGUUCUGUGCAAAGCCUGUAGUUUCUAGUUGUGAAGAUCUUCAGGUUUGCUUGAGCAAUGAAAGAGUACUGGAUUUGGAGUCCGCAGUCCUGGAUGGCCACCAUUACCAGCAAAAGGAGUAUUUCCGGAGCCUGGCACAACGCUGGGCACAUUGAUGGGGCUCAAUGAAUAUGUAUUAAAUGAACGAGUGACAGAACAGAUUCGAGACUUGGUGCUGCCAUCUACUACAGAGACCUUGAUCGUGUCCUUUAUCUGCCGUGAACCUCAGUUUCCAUAUCUGUCAACCAGGGGUGGUUCCCUGGGGUAGUGUGAGAGUAAAUUCCCGCCGCCUGAGGUGUGCAGAGUUCCCGCCCUUCCCGGAGCCGGGCGCCCCAGGAGCGCUCUCUCUGGCUCCCGCCAGAAAGGAUGGCUCCUAGGGGUCAGGGCCAGGGGUCUGG